UAUCAGAAGUGCGAAUGCUGACAUAAGUAACGAUAAAGCGGGUGAAAAGCCCGCUCGCCGGAAGACCAAGGGUUCCUGUCCAACGUUAAUCGGGGCAGGGUGAGUCGACCCCUAAGGCGAGGCCGAAAGGCGUAGUCGAUGGGAAACAGGUUAAUAUUCCUGUACUUGGUGUUACUGCGAAGGGGGGACGGAGAAGGCUAUGUUAGCCGGGCGACGGUUGUCCCGGUUUAAGCAUGUAGGCUGGUUGUCCAGGCAAAUCCGGAUAAUCAAGGCUGAGGUGUGAUGACGAGGCACUACGGUGCUGAAGUAACAAAUGCCCUGCUUCCAGGAAAAGCCUCUAAGCAUCAGGUAACAUCAAAUCGUACCCCAAACCGACACAGGUGGUCAGGUAGAGAAUACCAAGGCGCUUGAGAGAACUCGGGUGAAGGAACUAGGCAAAAUGGUGCCGUAACUUCGGGAGAAGGCACGCUGGUGUGUAGGUGAAGCCCCUGCGGGUGGAGCUGAGACCAGUCGAAGAUACCAGCUGGCUGCAACUGUUUAUUAAAAACACAGCACUGUGCAAACACGAAAGUGGACGUAUACGGUGUGACGCCUGCCCGGUGCCGGAAGGUUAAUUGAUGGGGUUAUCCGUAAGGAGAAGCUCUUNGAUCGAAGCCCCGGUAAACGGCGGCCGUAACUAUAACGGUCCUAAGGUAGCGAAAUUCCUUGUCGGGUAAGUUCCGACCUGCACGAAUGGCGUAAUGAUGGCCAGGCUGUCUCCACCCGAGACUCNAGUGAAAUUGAACUCGCUGUGAAGAUGCAGUGUACCCGCGGCAAGACGGAAAGACCCCGUGAACCUUUACUAUAGCUUGACACUGAACAUUGAGCCUUGAUGUGUAGGAUAGGUGGGAGGCUUUGAAGCGUGGACGCCAGUCUGCGUGGAGCCAACCUUGAAAUACCACCCUUUAAUGUUUGAUGUUCUAACGUUGGCCCCUUACCGGGGUUGCGGACAGUGUCUGGUGGGUAGUUUGACUGGGGCGGUCUCCNUCCCAAAGCGUAACGGAGGAGCACGAAGGUUAGCUAAUCCUGGUCGGACAUCAGGAGGUUAGUGCAAUGGCAUAAGCUAGCUUGACUGCGAGCGUGACGGCGCGAGCAGGUGCGAAAGCAGGUCAUAGUGAUCCGGUGGUUCUGAAUGGAAGGGCCAUCGCUCAACGGAUAAAAGGUACUCCGGGGAUAACAGGCUGAUACCGCCCAAGAGUUCAUAUCGACGGCGGUGUUUGGCACCUCGAUGUCGGCUCAUCACAUCCUGGGGCUGAAGUAGGUCCCAAGGGUAUGGCUGUUCGCCAUUUAAAGUGGUACGCGAGCUGGGUUUANGAACGUCGUGNAGACAGUUCGGUCCCUAUCUGCCGUGGGCGCUGGAGAAUUGAGGGGGGCUGCUCCUAGUACGAGAGGACCGGAGUGGACGCAUCACUGGUNGUUCGGGUUGUCAUGCCAAUGGCACUGCCCGGUAGCUAAAUGCGGAAGAGAUAAGUGCUGAAAGCAUCUAAGCACGAAACUUGCCCCGAGAUGAGUUCUCCCUGAGACUUUAAGUCUCCUGAAGGAACGUUGAANGACGACGACGUUGAUAGGCCGGGUGUGUAAGCGCAGCGAUGCGUUGAGCUAACCGGUACUAAUGAACCGUGAGGCUUAACCUUACAACGCCGAAG
rnacentral:rRNA from 1 species